ensembl:lncRNA
UGGUGACUAAACGACAGUUUGGCUGUUGAGUUUCAUUUUCAUCUUUGCAACUUCCUCAAAAAUGGUGAGUAAGCUUUUUUGCACCGUCUGUUGAGAAGAAAAACGGGACUAAACGGCAAAAAUGAACAAUUGAACACACUAUCUUGUAUCCAUCUAUCGAUUUUGCCAAAACACCUCGAAAUCCAUUCAAGAGUUUUGACGCGCAGGAACGCGCGCACCUAAAAGGCUAUAAGGAAACCAUAUUUCAUUUCAGAAUUGGUUCAAAUUAUGUUAGGAUCAGGGUUUUAAUAAGGUAUGGGUCAGUAUUAUGUUUUGCAGGUCAGAAGUGUCCUAAUAGCCUCUGUCCCCGUGCGCAGAAACGUCUAUGCAAAUAUUAGGUGUAGUCUACUAUAUUUGCUCAGUCCUCUUAAAAACGUAGCUAUUUCAGUAAAUCAUUUGGCUAAUUUCAAAUUAAUAUGAACCUUCUAAUGAGUUUUCAUAAUAGCAGUAUCAGUUAUUGUAUAGGCCAAGUGAUCUAUUUAAUGGUUAUGACGUCAUCUUUCUCAUGACAGGACGCUGAACAACAGAAGAAGUAAGCCUUACCAUAUUCACUAUUAACAUGAAGUCUUCUUUUGAUAUUUCAAUAUAUUAAAUAAUUGCACACUUAUUUAUUUAAUAAAAAUCUUGUUCUGUCAUAACUGACAAAAAAUAUAUAUAUUUUAGGGCAGAAGAAUUUCUAUUGUCUGGAGCAAGUUUUAGGACAAAUGCCUUCAGAAUCAUCAACAUAAUGAUUAAACUAUGCAAAGACAAGCCUGGCUGUAAGGUGCAUGUGGAUGAGGUAUGUAUGCAUUUGAAGGUGUCAUUGGAUAGUUUAUCUUCUUUUCCUGCAUAAAACAACCUCAAAAAAUAUGAAUGAAUGGAUGGAUGGAUGGAUAGAGUCAUCCAGAAAUUAGGGUUAUGCAUCCAAAGAGACAAUCAUUUAAUUUGUACUUCUCAUAGCAAACCUGUGUUUGUCUCUAAGAUUCUCCACAGCAUCUUCUUCUUAGGUUUCAUUCAUAAACCCCAACAAUGCACCCCCAACGAUAUCCUUGGUGAACUUAUGCCUGAAAUGGAGAGGAUUUUCCCGAGACCAUUUGAGAAUUACACAAGUAAACUGCCCAAACGGACUCCGUUCUCCUCUGUGCUGGAUAUGGUGGUCUCCUUGCUUGGACCAGACAGUGAGAUCAAUAUACUGGAGAGACUGAAGGAAAUCGCCAAUAUCAUGUCAGAAGCCAAGAGUAAAUACCAGUUCACCUCCUCGACCAUCUGUGUCUCUCAAAGGAAGGAUGUUCAAAGAAGUUACUAUGGAGCGUCCAUGUCCUGCACGGGGAAGAAAGGACAGAUUAUGAUCGCUGUGUCCUGUCUGUGUACCUGGCACUACAGUGUAUCCAAUGCCGUGAUGACAUACAAGCCAGAUAAGAACAAGAGAAAUAACUUUGAUGGCACCAUGAAACUACAAGGACAUGUAAAGUGCCAGGCUUCCAAUGUGAAGAGUGGGGAGGAGAUGUCUCCUUGCAGGUCCUGUGGUCAUCUUUUUGGUCUGAAGGAACCAAGCAAUCAGAUGUGGCCCUAUGGGAACUGCGCAGAGGCAGAGAGCUUGAGCAAACUGCUCUAUGGAGAGGAAGAGAUUGUUAAGAAUGUAGUACCAUCAGUUGAUUGCAAAAUGCGAGAGCAAGUGGUGAAGGAGGUAAAGGCUCACCUGGAAGAGAUGCUCAAAGAGUCAGAAUUUCAAUGGGAUUCUUCCUAUUACAUUCCACAGUAGAUUGUCAGAGAAACGCAUGUGCGCACACGCACACACACACUAAGUUUACAGAUAUACAGAUGCACAUUCCUACUGUGACACACAGAUCCAAAACAUAUAAUCAUAGCUUGGUGCGGGGCUAGCAACAUGUGAUUUGUGUCUGACAGCUAGCAUUGAAACAUUGCCAAAGCAGUGAACCACUCUGUGCAUGUAGUAUACAGUAUAACUGCUAGGCUAUAGCUAUCGGCUCUUAUCAAUGACAUCUGUGAGGUAGAUGGUUCUUUUAGAAGGGGACCGUUGUUUAGAGUACCUCAUGGAGAUACCUGAAAUUGAAUUUAAUAUUCUAGUCUAGACAAAGCAUUUAACAUAUAUAUAUUUUUAAAGAUGAUUUUAAUUGGAAUUUUAAACUUUAUUUCUGUAUACUCUAGUUAUUAAUGCACAUUUUACUAAUCUGUAACAAAUUACUAAUACUGUAAACAUUGGUGUGAAUUCAUGUCUGGGUUGAUUUCUAGCUAUGUGAGGAAUUCAUCUAAUAAAGGAACUUAAAUUGUAACCAUUGUAAUGUAGCCUAUGUUGUCAUUUGUGUGUGUGACAGAGAGAUUUUCAGUGCUUACUGUUCUUAGUUUGCAAACGGAAGGGUGAAGAGAGUUGAAAUAGCAGAACAAAAAAACAGGAUGCUGAUAAAGUGAAGUGCAAUUAUUCAUGGUAUUGUGUAUUGGUAUAUUGAAGUGAAUAUACUGUAUGUGUGUGGGAAGAGAAAUUUCCUAAGAUUAAUAAAAACAUAAGGUUAACAACCUGCAUGAAUAAAUUGCAGUUACUUAUAUGACACAUGGAUAUGGAAAGACCAAGGGCUUUAUUUUCGGC